AUUGAACAUAAGAGUUUGAUCCUGGCUCAGAUUGAACGCUGGCGGCAUGCUUUACACAUGCAAGUCGGACGGCAGCACAGGGAAGCUUGCUUCUCGGGUGGCGAGUGGCGAACGGGUGAGUAACAUAUCGGAACGUACCGGGUAGCGGGGGAUAACUGAUCGAAAGAUCAGCUAAUACCGCAUACGUCUUGAGAGGGAAAGCAGGGGACCUUCGGGCCUUGCGCUAUCCGAGCGGCCGAUAUCUGAUUAGCUGGUUGGCGGGGUAAAGGCCCACCAAGGCGACGAUCAGUAGCGGGUCUGAGAGGAUGAUCCGCCACACUGGGACUGAGACACGGCCCAGACUCCUACGGGAGGCAGCAGUGGGGAAUUUUGGACAAUGGGCGCAAGCCUGAUCCAGCCAUGCCGCGUGUCUGAAGAAGGCCUUCGGGUUGUAAAGGACUUUUGUCAGGGAAGAAAAGGCCGUUGCCAAUAUCGGCGGCCGAUGACGGUACCUGAAGAAUAAGCACCGGCUAACUACGUGCCAGCAGCCGCGGUAAUACGUAGGGUGCGAGCGUUAAUCGGAAUUACUGGGCGUAAAGCGGGCGCAGACGGUUACUUAAGCAGGAUGUGAAAUCCCCGGGCUCAACCCGGGAACUGCGUUCUGAACUGGGUGACUCGAGUGUGUCAGAGGGAGGUGGAAUUCCACGUGUAGCAGUGAAAUGCGUAGAGAUGUGGAGGAAUACCGAUGGCGAAGGCAGCCUCCUGGGAUAACACUGACGUUCAUGUCCGAAAGCGUGGGUAGCAAACAGGAUUAGAUACCCUGGUAGUCCACGCCCUAAACGAUGUCAAUUAGCUGUUGGGCAACUUGAUUGCUUGGUAGCGUAGCUAACGCGUGAAAUUGACCGCCUGGGGAGUACGGUCGCAAGAUUAAAACUCAAAGGAAUUGACGGGGACCCGCACAAGCGGUGGAUGAUGUGGAUUAAUUCGAUGCAACGCGAAGAACCUUACCUGGUUUUGACAUGUGCGGAAUCCUCCGGAGACGGAGGAGUGCCUUCGGGAGCCGUAACACAGGUGCUGCAUGGCUGUCGUCAGCUCGUGUCGUGAGAUGUUGGGUUAAGUCCCGCAACGAGCGCAACCCUUGUCAUUAGUUGCCAUCAUUCGGUUGGGCACUCUAAUGAGACUGCCGGUGACAAGCCGGAGGAAGGUGGGGAUGACGUCAAGUCCUCAUGGCCCUUAUGACCAGGGCUUCACACGUCAUACAAUGGUCGGUACAGAGGGUAGCCAAGCCGCGAGGCGGAGCCAAUCUCACAAAACCGAUCGUAGUCCGGAUUGCACUCUGCAACUCGAGUGCAUGAAGUCGGAAUCGCUAGUAAUCGCAGGUCAGCAUACUGCGGUGAAUACGUUCCCGGGUCUUGUACACACCGCCCGUCACACCAUGGGAGUGGGGGAUACCAGAAGUAGGUAGGGUAACCGCAAGGAGCCCGCUUACCACGGUAUGCUUCAUGACUGGGGUGAAGUCGUAACAAGGUAGCCGUAGGGGAACCUGCGGCUGGAUCACCUCCUUUCUAG
rnacentral:rRNA from 2 species